rnacentral:tRNA from 1 species
AGCAAAGUAGCUCAGUUGGUAGAGCACACGACUUUUAAUCGUUAGGCCAUGGGUUCAAAUCCCAUCGUUGCAA